UUCAUAUUGACUACUGAAUGUUGAUAUAGUCGAUGUCUACGAGCCACAUCGGCAAAUAAAUAUAACAGCACAUCACUUUUAUUUUAGUAGCCUAUAUUACUUGCUUUUAAUAACAAAAGUCCAACUGAUUUAAUGUGGUUAUCUUUUUUUUAAGGUAAGUACAAUAAAAAUAGCAACUUAUUCCCUAUUUACCAGGAAACUCUUACAUUUGCGGACAUAUUUGAAGUGGUGCUUUGCAAUUUAUUUACUUUUAUUUCAAAUGACAUGACCACAAAGCAGCACGCUAUUUGUUUAUUUUUAAUAGGUGUUAUCAUUGGUAGAAUAAAACUUUGCAACAUGUGUAAACACAAGUAUUUUAGCCAAAUAUAAUUUAUGCAAUGGAAAACCAGAAUGAAACAACAGCAGAUAUCAGCUCCCGCUAAAGAAAAAGACGACUACAUGCGUAGGCUACUGCACAGGUGUAGAGCGCGCGGCCGUCUGCAGGAGGUUUGCUGGAACGCGAUCCUGAGGUGAUAUUUCUUUAAGAGGUUUUAAAAACUUUCUACCCUGUGGAUUACGGCUGCGAGUGAUGUGAGCAGGAUCCGCAUGCUGGAUAAGAACAGCAUUUGUGAGACGACAUCAACUCAACAUUCGAGUGGACAAGAACACCAACAGAGGAAGCCAGCCGCAAAAACAACGAAUAAUUGUCAUGACUUUUUAUUUGAAAUAAAAGUUAUGUGAUAAUAAACAA